rnacentral:rRNA from 1 species
UAAUACGGAGGGUGCAAGCGUUAAUCGGAAUUACUGGGCGUAAAGGGUGCGUAGGUGGUUUGGUAAGUUAUCUGUGAAAUCCCCGGGCUCAACCUGGGCCGGUCAGAUAAGACUGCUGAACUCGAGUAUAGGAGAGGGUAGUGGAAUUUCCGGUGUAGCGGUGAAAUGCGUAGAGAUCGGAAGGAACACCAGUGGCGAAGGCGGCUACCUGGCCUGAUACUGACACUGAGGCACGAAAGCGUGGGGAGCAAACAGGAUUAGAUACCCUGGUAGUCCACGCUGUAAACGAUGUCAACUAGCUGUUGGCCUUAUAAAAGAGGUUAGUGGCGCAGCAAACGCGAUAAGUUGACCGCCUGGGGAGUACGGUCGCAAGAUUA